rnacentral:tRNA from 1 species
GGACGCGUCCGGACGCCGGUGGACGCCAGAUCCGCGGUCUUCAAAACCGAGAGUCGAGGGUUCGAAUCCUUCCGCCCCUGCCA